rnacentral:misc_RNA from 1 species
AGCAAAUCCUCAAAACAAAGACAGUUUAACCAGCAAUAAAUUAUUGCAAUGGCUCAAUCGGCUUUCUAAGAGUUCCAGGAACACAACCACAACAACCAACCAAUGCUACCACAUCCACAAUCACUGCUACCAUAAAACUACCAUCAGCAUCUCACCCAAGUAAGCAGCUCACUCCACUGCCACCACUAGCAGUGCAGCUGUCAUCACCACCCAACUACAACUACAAAUUUUAACUAAGUUUCAACUCUGGACUCACAGCUAGAGCAACA